GAAUCAUUUAUCUGAAUGAGUCCAGGCUGAUUGAUUUGCGCAAUUGAAGUCAGCACAUGAAUUGCCAACACACCUCCAGCUAUUACUCAGAGUUUGUGUUCCUCUUCCUGCUCUUUCUCUGUAAAGGGAAAACAAAAAAAAAGUUUGUAAGAAAGAACAAAUAAAUAAAGAUCUUUAACGCAAGUGGAGUAAAGACAGCAGUUAUAAACCCACCUGGAGCUUAAAGAAAUUCAACCAAGUCUUUUGAUCUUUUAUUUGGUGUGGUUUUUGAGUUGUAUUUUGUCAGGGAAAGGCGCAGCUUCACUGUCUUGCUUGUCUUUUUCUGCAUAACAGCACAAGUUUUUAAGUGCUUGAGCUUCUG
rnacentral:lncRNA from 1 species